rnacentral:misc_RNA from 1 species
AUGCCAUUCUUGGGAGAGAAAUUCUUUGAGAUUCAGAUCUAAAAAAUGGCGACAGUGUCUCCACUGGCUAAAUACAAGCUGGUGUUCUUGGGUGAUCAAUCUGUCGGCAAAACGAGCAUCAUCACUCGCUUCAUGUACGAUAAAUUCGACACGACUUACCAGGCUACCAUUGGGAUUGAUUUUUUGUCCAAAACAAUGUACCUUGAAGAUCG